GGAUCCAUUGCCGCAACGUCAGCGCCGCCGCCUCCUCUUUUCCUCUUCCUCCUCCGCCCCUCUCGCUUCCCGGCUUCUCCAGUCGCGGUUCCCGGAGUGGGUACCGAGCCCGGGGCCGUGGGGUGCCAUGCUGCCCGGGUGGCGGCGCUGAAGCAUGGCGACGCCCGUCCCUCCGCCUUCCCCGCGGCACCUGCGGCUGCUGCGGCUGCUGCUCUCCGGCCUUAUUCUGGGAGCGGCCCUGAAUGGUGCCACCGCCCGCCGCCCGGGGGAGGGCCUGCCCCAGCCCAGACUGGAAGAGGAGAUCGAUUCUCUGGCCCGGGAGCUGGCACUGAAGGAGAAGGAGGCUGGGCACCCAAGGCUCACAGCACAGCCCUUGCCUGAGGCUUCCCAGAAGCUCCUGGAACCUGCUACCCUGGGAUUCUCACAGUGGGGUCAACAACUGGAGCCUGGCCUCCCCUCUACUCACGGAACC
rnacentral:lncRNA from 1 species